rnacentral:rRNA from 1 species
AACGAACGCUGGCGGCAGGCUUAACACAUGCAAGUCGUACGAACGUAGCAAUACGUGAGUGGCGCACGGGAGAGUAAUACAUGGGAACAUGCCUUUUGGUUCGGAAUAACGUCGGGAAACUGACGCUAAUACCGGAUAAGCCCUAAGGGGGAAAGAUUUAUCGCCAAUAGAUUGGCCCAUGUUAGAUUAGCUAGUUGGUAGGGUAAUGGCCUACCAAGGCUACGAUCUAUAGCUGGUCUGAGAGGAUGACCAGCCUCACUGGACUGAGACACGGCCCAGACUCCUACGGGAGGCAGCAGUGGGGAAUAUUGGACAAUGGGGGAAACCCUGAUCCAGCCAUGCCGCGUGAAUGAUGAAGGCCUUCGGGUUGUAAAGUUCUUUUGACGGGGACGAUGAUGACGGUACCCGUAGAAUAAGCUCCGGCUAACUUCGUGCCAGCCGCCGCAGUAA